rnacentral:rRNA from 1 species
UGCGUAGGUGGUUGUAUAAGUUAGCUGUGAAAUCCCUGAGCUUAACCUGGGCAGGUCAGCUAAGACUGUAUGACUCGAGUAUGGGAGAGGGUAGUGGAAUUUCCGGUGUAGCGGUGAAAUGCGUAGAGAUCGGAAGGAACACCAGUGGCGAAGGCGGCUACCUGGCCUAAUACUGACACUGAGGCACGAAAGCGUGGGAGCAAACA